CUUUGACCUUGACCUAAUUUUCAUUUUUUGGGACCAAGGACCUCAAAUCAAAAGAUCCUAGGUCUCUAUCACUUAUGAUUGAUAAGAUAGAAAUUCAUAUCACUUAUAUCAGAUGCAUAAGGGGAAAUAACUCUCAUAUGGAGCGGUCAUAUCGCUUCGGUCAAAAUAGGACAAAUCAUGCAAAGGAUAUAACGAGCAAUUUUGUAAAAUAAAUUUGUCAUAAUCUUUUACGGUUGCGAAGGAGAUGCGCUAACAAGGAAAACAGUGUUUGGGGAGAUAACUCCUACAAAGAAAAGUAUUCGUUUACGCAGGGUAAUUUCAAAAGUGCAUAAACUGUUCGAUAUCAUAUACCAAAUAUCUAAGCGACUUAUUGCGAAACAAAUGUUUAUCGCAAGAACAAAAUUAGGCGGA
rnacentral:lncRNA from 1 species